rnacentral:rRNA from 1 species
AGAGUUUGAUCCUGGCUCAGAUUGAACGCUGGCGGCAUGCCUUACACAUGCAAGUCGAACGGCAGCGCGGGGGGUAACUCCUGGCGGCGAGUGGCGAACGGGUGAGUAAUAUAUCGGAACGUGCCCUGGAGUGGGGGAUAACUAGUCGAAAGAUUAGCUAAUACCGCAUACGAUCUACGGAUGAAAGUGGGGGAUUCGCAAGAACCUCAUGCUCGUGGAGCGGCCGAUAUCUGAUUAGCUAGUUGGUAGGGUAAAAGCCUACCAAGGCGACGAUCAGUAGCUGGUUUGAGAGAACGACCAGCCACACUGGGACUGAGACACGGCCCAGACUCCUACGGGAGGCAGCAGUGGGGAAUUUUGGACAAUGGGGGCAACCCUGAUCCAGCAAUGCCGCGUGUGUGAAGAAGGCCUUCGGG